GACGUAGGGCGCGAGCGUUGUCCGGAUUUAUUGGGCGUAAAGAGCUCGUAGGCGGCUUGUUGCGUCGACUGUGAAAACCUGCGGCUCAACCGUGUGGUCUGCAGUCGAUACGGGCAGGCUGGAGUUCGGUAGGGGAGACUGGAAUUCCUGGUGUAGCGGUGAAAUGCGUAGAUAUCUGGAGGAACACCGGUGGCGAAGGCGGCAUUCUGGACCGACAUUGACGCUGAGGAGCGAAAGCCAGGGGAGCAAACGGG
rnacentral:rRNA from 1 species